rnacentral:misc_RNA from 1 species
GAACGCACAUUGCACCCUCUGGUAUUCCGGAGGGUAUGCCUGUUUGAGUGUCAUUAAUGUGUCAACACAGGCAAGUUUGUCAAGACUUGCUCUGCUGUUUGGAUGUUGAAGGCUUGCUGGCAUUGACGUGUUCUGUCAGCUCCUUUUAAAUUCAUUAGCAGGAACCUUGCAGGACUGGCUUCAGUUUGAUAAGAUUGAACUGUUGUUAGAAUGCGCUUUUGCUGUUCCGGCUUCUAAUUGUCUGGUAAAACCGGACUGUCUCGCUCUGAGACAUUUACAUUUGACAACUUGGCCUCAAAUCAGGUAGGACUACCCGCUGAACUUAAG